rnacentral:tRNA from 1 species
GGGUUGGUGGUCUAAUGGCUACGGCUUCUGCUUCAUAUGCAGAAGGUCAAAAGUUCAAUCCCCGGCCCG